CACGAACGCUGGCGGCAGGCUUAACACAUGCAAGUCGAGCGCCCCGCAAGGGGAGCGGCAGACGGGUGAAUAACGCGUGGGAAUCUACCCAUCUCUACGGAAUAACGCAUGGAAACGUGUGCUAAUACCGUAUACGUCCUUCGGGAGAAAGAUUUAUCGGAGAUGGAUGAGCCCGCGUUGGAUUAGCUAGUUGGUGGGGUAAAGGCCUACCAAGGCGACGAUCCAUAGCUGGUCUGAGAGGAUGAUCAGCCACACUGGGACUGAGACACGGCCCAGACUCCUACGGGAGGCAGCAGUGGGGAAUAUUGGACAAUGGGCGCAAGCCUGAUCCAGCCAUGCCGCGUGAGUGAUGAAGGCCCUAGGGUUGUAAAGCUCUUUCACCGGUGAAGAUAUGACGGUAACCGGAGAAGAAGCCCCGGCUAACUUCGUGCCAGCCGCCGCGGUAACAC
rnacentral:rRNA from 1 species